UAAUGGGUGAUGGCGUGCCUUUUGUAGAAUGAACCGGCGAGUUACGAUUUGAUGCAAGGUUAAGCAGUAAAUGUGGAGCCGUAGCGAAAGCGAGUCUGAAUAGGGCGUUUAGUAUUUGGUCGUAGACCCGAAACCAGGUGAUCUACCCUUGGUCAGGUUGAAGUUCAGGUAACACUGAAUGGAGGACCGAACCGACUUACGUUGAAAAGUGAGCGGAUGAACUGAGGGUAGCGGAGAAAUUCCAAUCGAACCUGGAGAUAGCUGGUUCUCUCCGAAAUAGCUUUAGGGCUAGCCUCAAGUGAUGAUUAUUGGAGGUAGAGCACUGUUUGGACGAGGGGCCCCUCUCGGGUUACCGAAUUCAGACAAACUCCGAAUGCCAAUUAAUUUAACUUGGGAGUCAGAACAUGGGUGAUAAGGUCCGUGUUCGAAAGGGAAACAGCCCAGACCACCAGCUAAGGUCCCAAAAUAUAUGUUAAGUGGAAAAGGAUGUGGCGUUGCCCAGACAACUAGGAUGUUGGCUUAGAAGCAGCCAUCAUUUAAAGAGUGCGUAAUAGCUCACUAGUCGAGUGACACUGCGCCGAAAAUGUACCGGGGCUAAACAUAUUACCGAAGCUGUGGAUUGUCCUUUGGACAAUGGUAGGAGAGCGUUCU
rnacentral:rRNA from 1 species